CACAUGCAAGUCGAGCGAUUCUCUUCGGAGAAGAGCGGCGGACGGGUGAGUAACGCGUGGGUAACCUGCCCUGUACACACGGAUAACAUACCGAAAGGUAUGCUAAUACGGGAUAACAUAAGAAAUUCGCAUGUUUUUCUUAUCAAAGCUCCGGCGGUACAGGAUGGACCCGCGUCUGAUUAGCUAGUUGGUGAGGUAACGGCUCACCAAGGCGACGAUCAGUAGCCGACCUGAGAGGGUGAUCGGCCACAUUGGAACUGAGACACGGUCCAAACCCCUACGGGAGGCAGCAGUGGGGAAUAUUGCACAAUGGGCGAAAGCCUGAUGCAGCAACGCCGCGUGAGCGAUGAAGGCCUUCGGGUCGUAAAGCUCUGUCCUCAAGGAAGAUAAUGACGGUACUUGAGGAGGAAGCCCCGGCUAACUACGUGCCAGCAGCCGCGGUAAUACGUAGGGGGCUAGCGUUAUCCGGAUUUACUGGGCGUAAAGGGUGCGUAGGCGGUCUUUUAAGUCAGGAGUGAAAGGCUACGGCUCAACCGUAGUAAGCUCUUGAAACUGGAGGACUUGAGUGCAGGAGAGGAGAGUGGAAUUCCUAGUGUAGCGGUGAAAUGCGUAGAUAUUAGGAGGAACACCAGUUGCGA
rnacentral:rRNA from 1 species